CUGGAAAAUGUUUUGCUUUUUGGUUAAACCAAUAUGUCUGAGGCCACCUCUUUUUCUCUUCCUCCUCCCUCCCCGACCGCACAUGAUGCCUGAAGUCGCAGCAGCCACGAGGGAUGAGGCAGGAGAGUCAUAGAGACACCAGCCCCAAGGGCCUUAAGCUGCAGAAUUGAGCCGGCAGCUGCCCACCUGUGGACUUCUUGGUAGCCUUUAUAACUGGUAAAACCACCGUUUAGAUGAUCACAGGAGAAAUUCUGGCCAAAAAAAAAUUGUCUUGGAGCUCAUGGAAUCCAUCAAAGAGGCCUCUGAUCAUCGGGCGUCACACACUCCACUUUGAGAGCUGAACAAGGCCAGAGAUGCAGCUACAGCAAGGGCGGAUUCUUUACCAGCUGAGCCACACUCUCUUCAGGUUUACCACUGAGUAAACUGAAGCCCUGGGCGACACUGGAGACGGGCUUGAUCCCUGGGUUGGGAAGAUCCCCUGGAGGAGGGCAUGGCAACCCACUCCAGUAUUCUUGCCUGGGAAAUCCCAAGGAUCGAGGAGCCUGCAGGGCAGCCUAGAGGAACAGUGGCAACAUAAACAGAUGUGAAAAGCAUCUUGUUGGAACCCCACAAAGGUCCAUAAAAUGGAGACUACACAGGUGGGUUAGCAGCUAAGCUUUCUUAAUGAGAAAUUGGAAAGAAGUGAACAGCAAGUUUGAUGAAACCAUUUUUUCAUAAAGCUGUACAUAUUCCAGAAGACAGAUAAGAAUAUAAACGACAGCAAGAUCAAAGAUUUGAUGGAACAUAUCCACUAGGAGUGAAGGCUCUGAAGAAAGCUGAUAAGCAAAUUUGGGAGCCCCUGAUGAAUCUUGAGGUGACAGUGAGCAGAGAUUACCUCAGCCCUGUCCUAGCAGACCUGGCACAGAGAAGAGGGAACAUUCAGGAGGUCCAGUCUCGCCAAGACAACAAAGUUGUUAUUGGAUAUGUUCCCUUAGCAGAAAUCAUGGGUUAUUCAACUGUGCUUCGAACAUUAACAUCAGGCUCAGCUACUUUUGCCUUAGAGCUGUCUAAUUAUCAAGCCAUGAAUCCUCAAGACCAAAGUACGCUGCUCAGCCAGAGACGUGGCCUGUCCUAAGUCCUUGGAGGGAAACUCAGGAGCACCUACCGACUUCGUUUUCAGUAAGAACAAUUUAAAAGAGAACUUGAACAGGCGGUGGCACCGGUGGCUGCUCCUUCUACUUUAGAGCAUGAGAAACGCGCUUUGAUGUUGACGGUUAACGUACCUCAGCUGUAUUGUCUAUCUAGUAAAUUAUUACUGUUGGUAGUUAAGAUUCAGUCUUUUGGAAUACACUGAGUGAUGGAUAUCACAAGGUUUCUGGUUGGUUGAUUUUACGCUUGUCUCACAAGAAAGGUGUCAAUCUUCUAAUGUAUAAUAAGAUGGAGGUUCAAUAAAAGCAUUUUUUAUUCAAAAA